CAUGAAUGACCUUAUUCCCAGUGUAAACAACGAGGAUGUGGUAUUAACACCCGGAAAAAAAUUAAAUCACGUAAAAACGAAGGCCUUGUUUGUAAGUAACAUUUUAUACACUAUUUUAUACGAUAUUUACACGAACAAAUGUGUGUGUGAAACCUUAUAUUUCGUGUCCGCCCACAACGUUGAGCGAUACGGUAAUACCACCUGCUAUUGAAUUCCCCUAUUUAUAACGAAUGAAUAUUCGACGAGUAAGGUUUCACAUUUUGAAAUAUCACAACAAAAAUAUAUUUUUUUUAUCAACUUCGCGUUAUAAGAUUAUUUUGUUGAUGUAACGAAAAUAAUUAGAUAUAAACAAAUGCAAAAGGCUACCGUGGACCAUAGAUGUAUAUUACAUCUAUGCGUGGACAGACUCAGUGGGACAGGCCAGGGACUAUGAUAUCUACACUAACUUAGUAUAGAAAGUCCCUGUGCAGGCUCAAGUCAGACUGGCCUGACACUACUUUAACACAUUGCUGCAUGCAAACAGAUAUUUCUCCCAAAGUAAAAAAUAAAUUAUCCAAGUAAUUGUUAUUUAUUUUCAGGAUCUGCCCAAUUAUCUAGUAUAGACAGUUAUGGCAGACUGUGGUUGGUUAUGGAGUAUAUUAUGGGCUAUAAUUUUACUGGUAUUUGGAUGGCCAAUUGGAUUUAUUUGUGCUAUAUUUUACUGUUUACUUAGUCCAUUUGCUGCAUGUUGUCAUGGAUGUAAUGAAUUAAUUAAUCUAUUAGAAAGAGGAGUAAAGUUACCACUGACUUGUUCUCAGAAUAUGGUGAAGGGAAAAUCUAUGUGUUGAUAAUACUGCAAUUAAUAGUAUGGGUUACAUAGACUGGUGCUUAAUUUGGACUCUUGUGCAAGUAUGUGAAAAAUGUGUAUGAAAGAUGGAUCCAAGUUUUAUAAUUAUUGCACUGAACAUGUAUAAUUGUCAAGGUAUUAAAGUUAUGCACUGGUAUGCAUGGUAUGUUGUGUUCAUAUGUUAAUGAAUAACUUGUUCAUAUUUACUGAUCUUUCUUAUGCUUGCCUUCAGUAAUUUUAAUCUCAAUUAACAUAAGAUCUCUUGUUAUUGUAGUUUUAUAUAUUUAUAAAUAUACUAUAAAUAAUGUAGUUUUUUAUACCAUAAACAUUUUAUGUUAAGAUUUAAUAAUUUCAUGUGUUUCAUGGUUGAAUUGUUACCUUCACAUUGUGUAUAUUCUAAUUCAAUAUUUAAAUAAACAGGGUCGCUAGAAUGAUUUCAGACUUGAGUAUUAGCAUACAAAAUAAAGACAUGAAUCAGCAUUUCCAAUGAUGUGCAUUAUGUAAAAUUGAGGAGAACAUUGUAUAUACAGGUGUCUAUUUAUCACAGAUUUUGUAUACAACUAUGAACAUUAGCUGAAACCAUUUUAUUAUUAUAUUUGCUAUUAAACUAUCUAGGGGGGUAGGGGGGGGGGGGCAAUACCUUUUUGUGUUAACCUGUUAUGGCCCUUUUCAAGAUGUUGUUAACUGUUGUCUGAGAUCAAUUUAAGCUAACUGUUUUCAUCCCACUUUGUUAACUGUUAUCAGCAUUUUUGCAUUUUUUGUUAUCUGUUUUUGCCAAAAUCGAGGUGUUGUUAACCCCUAUUGCCCCCCUCAUUUAUCUUUCAAGACUAUUUCCAAACUUAAGACCAUAAGAUUUUCUUGAAGAUUGAUGCGAUGCUACAUAAAUUUCAAUUUCAAUAAUGCAAAGCAUUUAAGUGUUCUCUUUUGAGCAUAUGUAUCACAAUGAUGUAUCCUUGGUGAAAAUUAACACAGAAUUAUAAUAUAUAUAUGGGAGUCAAAACCCGUUUCAGGGGAGUUAAGUUAAUGCGGUUAUGUACCUUUUAAAUUUUUUUCUAUAGUCACUUAUUUUGUUUUUGAUGAUGUAAUGAGAACAGAAACUAUAAAUUUAAAAUCACAUGGCUAAAAUAUAUUUUUCUAACGUUCUAAUUUUUUUUACUCAUUUUAUUUCGUUCCUUACAAAAUUUGUAAUACAAACAUAAUUUUUUUUAAAUAUUGAUUUCAUAAUAUCAUCAGAAUAUUAACCAAAUUCAAUAUUUUUUUUAGAAGUAUUUUGAGUUCAAAAUUAAUAGGGAGAAAUUAUAUAUAAAACCUUGCAAUAAGCUGUGACAUUACCUGUUUAUUGUAACUAAACAAGAAUAUACAUUGUAUUAAUGUUUAUUUUUAAAAUACAUUGAAAUUGUAAAUUGACAAGGUCAUAAGGUCUGCAGUAAGAUAUAUCCAUCAUCUCAGACACAUCCUGAAUCCAAGCUGACUAAUCUUUGCUCUCACUCCUAAAUGCUGCAUGCCAAGUGAAAAAGCAUCAAAUACCAAUGUUCAAGCCUAGCUUGACUCAUCUUAGGAUGAAAUAUAAAAAAGAAGAAGAUGUGAUAUGAUUGCCAAUGAAACAACUCUCCACAAGGAACCAAAUUAACAACAAAGCAGUUGAUUUUGACAUGAUAUACCUUAUAUAUUUAAGAGAUAUGGAAAUUUAUCUUCAGUCUGGAAUGCGCUGAAAUACUGUAAAAGCAGAAAUUUUUGUGGAGGAUUUAAUUACAUUUAUUUCAUGGAAAGAAUAUAUCCACGAAAUUAAAAAACCCAUGAAAAUUGAACCUACAUAUAAUAUCCAUUUUAAUUACUGGAAACCACAAAAUUAAAUCCCAAUGAAUUCUUAUAUAGAGACCAAACCAAGAAAUUUUAACCCCUCGAAAAUUAAUGUUUCUACAGUAGUUGUCACUUUAGUCAAAGUAUUGGGUAACCUUCAACAAAGGCUUGUGAACUCUUUAUACAAACUUCUUUAAAAGACCACUCAGCCACUGAUAAACUAUGAUGAAAAUAACCAAGUCACUGAAUAAUGAAUGAAAGUGACCUACUUUUAUGUGCUGGAAAUUGCUGCAAGAAUGCUCCUACAGGUAUAACAAAUAAUAUGAUUUGUUUAAAUAAAAUUUGUAUACUUAACCAUUGUCAAUGAAUCAUGAAAUGGUGGGAAGUUACCCUAAAUCUAAUUCUACAAUGUCAUAGCAUUGGAGGACAACUGAGAACUGACCUUGGACAUUGCCUAUCUACAAACUUGUACUAUCCUGUACAUUUAAACAAAAUGCUGCAUUGCAAUAUGCACUGAGCUGUUAUUUGCUCAUAUUCAUUCAUGUACUUACUUACAAUUAAGGUAAAGCUAGAAUUCACUUUUUUGUUGUAACAUUUAACACAAACACCAGAGAAC
rnacentral:lncRNA from 1 species